CCCUUAGAUGUUCUGGGCCGCACGCGUGCUACACUGAGUGGAUCAGCGGGUCAGGUUGCGCGAAAGUGUUUCCUAAUCUUGAAAUCCGCUCGUGAUGGGGAUUGACGGUUGCAAUUUUCCGUCAUGAACGAGGAAUACCUUGUAAGCGCGGGUCAUCAUCCCGCGCUGAAUAUGUCCCUGCCCUUUGUACACACCGCCCGUCGCUCCUACCGAUUGAGUGGUCCGGUGAGGCUUUGGGAUCUGAGCGGAAAGAGCGUUUCGCUGUUUCUGCUCGGAAAACUCAGUCGAACCUUAUCAUUUAGAGGAAGGAGAAGUCGUAACA
rnacentral:rRNA from 1 species